CUCAGACUUCCCUAGGGCUAGUAGAAAGAAGUAUUUGUAUCAUGAAAGGUGCCGGGACUCAAGGUGUGCACCCCCUCACCCAGCUCGAAGUCUGGAUCUUAAUCCUUCCCCAUAGCAGAAGAAAAGUAACCGAGACACUGUAGAACAUACUUUGAAUCCUAGCUCCUUGAGAGGCCUUUACAAGUAAGCGACUUCUGCAGGUCUUUGGCGCAUUUUACAUUUGUGGACUGUGACCUCUGAACUCGACCUUCAAGAAGGAAGUCUCAAUGAAGGAUGUACUUGUGUCCAGGUCUUAUGAUUUUUACCUUCAGUCAUGUCGCUUGGAAUCAUUCUUGCCCCAACAAGGGCUCUGCUAUCCUCUGUGGUUAGAUAAUCCCUUGGAUGAUGGUCAAACCGUCUGCAGUGCAUAAAAAUGCCAGCAUUCACUCCAUCCAGCUACCUUCAUGUUUAUAUGCACAGUACAUCUCUGUAGCCACACCUUGAUUUUGUGUUUAUGUGGUGUUUGGGGAUGUGUACCACUUAGCUACAGAAUGUUAAAAUUUCUUUCCUGGUCACUGUGCUGCAUGACUGAUCCAUUUCAUGUGAUAUAUUUAGUAUGGUUCAUUGCCCACUGGUCUUAUUAUUUAAUAAUUUGCAUUAAAUUGAAUUUUCUA
rnacentral:lncRNA from 1 species